CUGCUCCGCGGCGCAAUGGCGGCCGGUGGCAGGGCUCCGCUGCCCGGCCUGAGCCCCAUGAGGGGACAGAGCGCUGGCACAGCCGCCUCAGCCCGGGUCACCCUGGCCCUGCCCGGGCCCGCGUCCCCCGGAGCGCGCCCUGCAGCGCAGAACGCGGCCUCGGAGCCAGGAGCGGGGCCAAUGGCCUUGGCUCGGCAGCGGCGCCGGGAGGCGGCGGGCGGUGCCCUCAGGGCAGGAAAAAUCAUCCAACUCCUCCCAUCUUUGCCAGAAGCUUUGGUGUUUAGGCAGCCAAAGGCAAGAGGCCUCAGCACCAGGGCUCUGUCCUGGAGGGCUCUGCUCCUGCCCACGCUGUGGGUGAGCCAGGGCUGGCACAGGGAAUCGUGCAGGUACUGACCAGAGCUGCUGCCCUUUGGAGCCAUUUUAAAGGCUGUCCUUGCUGGAGCACCCUGGUCCCUGCCAUCCCCAAGCCCUGGGACACAGAGGGAGCCCUGUCCCAAGUGGCUUUGGCACCUUGGCAGGGAUGUGGCAGCAGCCCCAGAGCAGCUGGAGGAGAAAACCUCCCAGCAGAGACAGAUUGCAAUGGAGGCCAGAGUUGUGUUUGGAGCAGGGAGUGCUGGGAGCUGCAUCUGCCUGUGCUGCCACAGCCUGAGCACAGCCUGGGAAAAGGGACUGGGGGAGUUCUGGUGCCCCAGUGAGAAGAACACAAACUCAGCCAUUCAGCCUGACAGGCCCCUCCACCCAGAGCUCAGCACACAUCCUCAGAGCAGCCAGCAGGGAAGGGAGAAGAGGAUCCCUGUGGGAUGAGACUGGAGAGAGCGAGCAGAGGAGCGGCCUCGGGCUGGAGAAAGGCAAAGGGACCAACAUGGUGUCACCAGGGCACCUGUGAGGAACAGAAUGGGCACUUGGAGGCCACAUGGAGGAAGGGGAUGCACAGCUCUGUCUGCAGCACACCUCCAGUGGGACCUACCUGUGAAAGCUUUCCUUCACUUGUGCACUUGCAGCUGGAUCCCUGAAAAACUCCAAACUCCAUCCCACUGAUUUUCAGGUAUCUCUGAGGGCUACUGUCUGGGAUUUAAUACCUGUGGGAGAAGAUUGCCUUGCCUUUAAUGCUGCUGAUGGAUGAUGGCCUCAGGCUGGGGAGGGGAGGGAAGGGAUUUGGGGUGGCUGGGACAUACCUGCAGUUGUGUGGGAGCUCUGAACCGGGAAUUUCUGUGUGAGCCCCUGUGCAAACAGCCUGUGCCUCCAUUCCCAGGUCAUACCAGCUGCUCCUUGGGGUCCUUCUGGGCUCUUGGUGCUCUGUGUGGGCUGGAGCAUUUCCACGUGCCUGCUCAGAGCAGCCCCUGGCCGAGGAGCCACAGUGCAGGCACAGCUCCUCCCCUGCAGAUCCCAAAGACACGAGGGGCUGCUUGCCUUCAGGAGCUUCUGGCUCCUCCUGCCCUGCGCUCCCAGCCAGUUGGGACACGCUGAGGGAACACCAGGGAGCAUGGCUGGCAGCGAGCAGGAGACACCGAGGCCUCUGGGCCCAGAAACAGCCCCGGCCUCAGCAGCCACCGUCGCUUUGGCCUGGCAGCGCUCACGUGCGGGAAACGCCCCCUGCCACUCUCCAGAGGCACUUUGGCCACAGAGCAAGGGCACCCUCAGGACUUGUCUUGUUCACUUCUUCUGGGGAAGCCGAGGGACAUUGUGUGAGCACGUUUACAGCUGCCAGGUAAAUCCUGGAAAGGGCAGAAAAAUCAGGGUCAUGGGGAAGAGUUUGGUGCUGACAUGCUGAGUGCCAGCCAGUUGUGCCCUACGGCCAUUGCAGGGGCUGGUGUGUAAAGCAGCAUUAGCAGAAGGGAAGGAGCUGCAUUUGCAGAGGAGUUCUCUUACUGGCAGCAGUCAUUCCCAUCCCACACAGGGCCUUUGGAACAGCCCUGGGAUUGGCCCAGGUGUUUGGAGCAGGGUGCUGAGAGGACCAAAAUUCUGUGUUCAGUGUGCAGCUGAGCCAGUCAGUUCUCAGCAU